ACAUUACGCACCUAGGGCAGGAAAAUAAGAAAUGUCUCAGAUCACAUGUAAUCAACAAACAUGACUGUAAUCUAAGGCUUUCUUAUUUACUGCCCAUGGUGCGUAUGCUAUUUUUCUCCUCGACGGAGGCGAAAAACGUCAACAUCGGUAAGCGCAGCGGGACGAAAGUUUACGUUUUCCGCCCGGAUGUGAGAAAAAUGAUUUUUUCACUGUUAAUU